CAGUAGCCGCGGUAAUACGGAGGGAGCUAGCGUUAUUCGGAAUUACUGGGCGUAAAGCGCACGUAGGCGGCUUUGUAAGUAAGAGGUGAAAGCCCGGAGCUCAACUCCGGAACUGCCUUUUAGACUGCAACGCUUGAAUCCAGGAGAGGUGAGUGGAAUUCCGAGUGUAGAGGUGAAAUUCGUAGAUAUUGGGAAGAACACCGGUGGCGAAGGCGGCAACCUGGCUCAUUACUGACGCUGAGGCGCGAAAGCGUGGGGAGCAAACAGGAUUAGAUACCCCCGUAGUCCCUGUCUCUUAUAC
rnacentral:rRNA from 1 species